UGGGGAAUAUUGCACAAUGGGCGCAAGCCUGAUGCAGCCAUGCCGCGUGUAUGAAGAAGGCCUUCGGGUUGUAAAGUACUUUCAGUCGGGAGGAAGGUGGUAAGGUUAAUAACCUUAUCAAUUGACGUUACCGACAGAAGAAGCACCGGCUAACUCCGUGCCAGCAGCCGCGGUAAUACGGAGGGUGCAAGCGUUAAUCGGAAUUACUGGGCGUAAAGCGCACGCAGGCGGUUGAUUGAGUCAGAUGUGAAAUCCCCGGGCUUAACCCGGGAAUUGCAUCUGAUACUGGUCAGCUAGAGUCUUGAAGGGGGGGUAGAAUUCCAUGUGUAGCGGUGAAAUGCGUAGAGAUGUGGAGGAAUACCGGUGGCGAAGGCGGCCCCCUGGACAAAGACUGACGCUCAGGUGCGAAAGCGUGGGGAGCAAACAGG
rnacentral:rRNA from 1 species